rnacentral:rRNA from 1 species
GACAGAGGGUGCAAACGUUGCUCGGAAUCACUGGGCGUAAAGCGCACGUAGGCGGAUUGCUAAGUCAGGGGUGAAAUCCUGGAGCUCAACUCCAGAACUGCCUUUGAUACUGGCGAUCUCGAGUCCGGGAGAGGUGAGUGGAACUGCGAGUGUAGAGGUGAAAUUCGUAGAUAUUCGGAAGAACACCAGUGGCGAAGGCGGCUCACUGGCCCGGUACUGACGCUGAGGUGCGAAAGCGUGGGGAGCAAACAGG